rnacentral:rRNA from 1 species
GACGAGCGCUGGCGGCGGGCUUAACACAUGCAAGUCGAACGGAAAGGCCCUGCUUUUGUGGGGUGCUCGAGUGGCGAACGGGUGUGUAACACGUGAGUAACCUGCCCUUGACUUUGGGAUAACUUCAGGAAACUGGGGCUAAUACAGGAUAGGAGCUCCUGCUGCAUGGUGGGGGUUGGAAAGUUUCGGCGGUUGGGGAUGGACUCGCGGCUUAUCAGCUUGUUGGUGGGGUAGUGGCUUACCAAGGCAUUGAAGGGUAGCCGGCCUGGGAGGGUGAACGGCCACAAUGGGACUGAGGGACGGCGCAGACGCCUACGUUAGGCAGCAGGGGGGAAUAUUGCACAAUGAGCGGAAGCCUGAUGCAGCAACGCCGCGUGCGUGAUGACGGCCUUCUGGGUGUAAACCGCUUUCGCCUAUGACGAAGCGUGAGUGACGGUAAUGAAUGAAUAAGCACCGGCUAACUACGUG